rnacentral:rRNA from 1 species
AAUCCGAGUAGAGCGGCGCACGGGUGCGUAACACGUGGAUAAUCUGCCCUUGAAUUCGGGAUAACCUUCCGAAAGGUUGGCUAAUACCGGGUAAGCUCACGGUGACUUCGGUCGCUGUGGGAAAAGUAGACCUCUGUUUACAAGUUUACGUUUGAGGAUGAGUCCGCGGCCCAUCAGCUAGUUGGCGGGGUAAUGGCCCACCAAGGCUACGACGGGUAGCUGGUCUGAGAGGACGAUCAGCCACACUGGAACUGAGACACGGUCCAGACUCCUACGGGAGGCAGCAGUGGGGAAUUUUCCACAAUGGGCGAAAGCCUGAUGGAGCAACGCCGCGUGUGUGAUGAAGGUCUUCGGGUCGUAAAGCACUUUCGACCGGGACGAAAAACCUCUGGCUAACAUCCAGGGGCCUGACGGUACCGGGAGAAGAAGUACCGGCUAACUCUGUGCCAGCAGCCGCGGUAAUACAGAGGGUGCAAGCGUUGUUCGGAAUUAUUGGGCGUAAAGCGCGUGUAGGCGGCUUGGCAAGUCAGAUGUGAAAGCCCAUGGCUUAACCAUGGAAGUGCGUCUGAAACUGCUGAGCUUGAGUGCCGGAGAGGAUGGCGGAAUUCCGCAAGUAGAGGUGAAAUUCGUAGAUAUGCGGAGGAACACCGGUGGCGAAGGCGGCCAUCUGGACGGCAACUGACGCUGAGACGCGAAAGCGUGGGGAGCAAACAGGAUUAGAUACCCUGGUAGUCCACGCUGUAAACGAUGAGAACUAGGUGUCGUGGGUGUUGACCCCCGCGGUGCCGUA